AACGCACAUUGCGCCCUGUAGUAUUCCGCAGGGCAUGCCUGUUCGAGCGUCAUUUAACCACUCACGCCUGGCGUGGUAUUGGGGUACGCGGUCUCGCGGCCCUUAAAAUCAGUGGCGGUGCCGUCUGGCUCUAAGCGUAGUAAUUUCUCUCGCUAUAGGGUUCCCGGUGGUUACUUGCCAGAACCCCCCAAUUUUUUACUAGGUUGACCUCGGAUCAGGUAGGGAUACCCGCUGAACUUAA
rnacentral:misc_RNA from 1 species